rnacentral:rRNA from 1 species
AGUGAACGCUGGCGGUAGGCCUAACACAUGCAAGUCGAACGGCAGCACAGUAAGAGCUUGCUCUUACGGGUGGCGAGUGGCGGACGGGUGAGGAAUACAUCGGAAUCUACUUUUUCGUGGGGGAUAACGUAGGGAAACUUACGCUAAUACCGCAUACGACCUACGGGUGAAAGCAGGGGAUCUUCGGACCUUGCGCGAUUGAAUGAGCCGAUGUCGGAUUAGCUAGUUGGCGGGGUAAAGGCCCACCAAGGCGACGAUCCGUAGCUGGUCUGAGAGGAUGAUCAGCCACACUGGAACUGAGACACGGUCAAGACUCCUACGGGAGGCAGCAGUGGGGAAUAUUGGACAAUGGGCGCAAGCAUGAUCCAGCCAUACCGCGUGGGUGAAGAAGGCCUUCGGGUUGUAAAGCCCUUUUGUUGGGAAAGAAAAGCAGCAGGUUAAUACCCCGCUGUUCUGACGGUACCCAAAGAAUAAGCACCGGCUAACUUCGUG